AUUCCAGCUCCAAUAGCGUAUAUUAAAGUUGUUGCAGUUAAAAAGCUCGUAGUUGAACUUUGGGCUUGGUCAGCCGGUCCGCUUUUUUGCGUGUACUGGUCCUGACCGAGCCUUUCCUUCUGGCUAACCUGUCUCUCGGGGCAGGCGAACCAGGACUUUUACUUUGAAAAAAUUAGAGUGUUCAAAGCAGGCCUUUGCUCGAAUAUAUUAGCAUGGAAUAAUAGAAUAGGACGUUUGGUUCUAUUUUGUUGGUUUCUAGGACCAUCGUAAUGAUUAAUAGGGACGGUCGGGGGCAUCAGUAUUCAAUUGUCAGAGGUGAAAUUCUUGGAUUUAUUGAAGACUAACUACUGCGAAAGCAUUUGCCAAGGACGUUUUCAUCA
rnacentral:rRNA from 1 species